rnacentral:lncRNA from 1 species
CUGGGUGUAGGAAAACUCUGCCACUUAUCCGAAGCCUGAAACUAUUCUAAAAUGUAAAAGGCUUAUUUUAAAAGUUAGAAAAAAGCGGAAUAAGGGGAGGUGGAGGAGAGGACAACAUGGCAGUUACCCCAGACAGUACUGGAAGGUCAAGAAAAUGAAAAUAUCGGUAUACAUCAUCUAUUUCAAGAUAUGUGUAAACUAGCCAUAAAGAGCAAAUGUUUUUUAUCUACUGGCCAUUAGCAGUGAACAGAUUACUCCUCCAUGAGACUUAUUUUCCCAUGAUAAAAAAAGAUUGUCAUCAUUAUCACAUUUUUUUAGCUGGGCUUAAAGUUAAAAGGGUUGUACACACACAAAUGGCAAUGGGCUGAAUAAACAGUAUAGUUUUUAUUUUCAACGGAGCAUAUUCCACAUGGUAAAUUAUCUAGUGCCACGGUUCUGUCCUGUUUAACUCCACCACCCAUGAGUUACAUACAUUCUUUAUAUGGAUAAACAGAAAAAUUCAUUUCGUGCCUGCCAAAACGUUUUCUUCUCAGGUGUUAUUGUGUGUAUAGAGCGAUGUGUAAAGAAAACUCGCUUACAAUGUCAUCUGUGUCUCUUCGUUAAUACGCCUUUAUGCUAUCAUCCAUAAUCAUUAUAAUUGUCAUAUCGAUCUCCCUUUUAAUAAACGGAGUCUUCCUCAUCAUUUAUUGGUGUCGAUGCUAACCAGCCCUCGGGGGCUUGAAGGGGCCGAGCACAACCGCGAAGCAGUGUCUGGUCCAGUGUCGCCACAUCUGGGUCUGGCUGCCAGGAGCAGAGUACCCACAGGAUGAGGCAGGAUCCUUCCUUUGUGGCGCGCAGCUCCCUCGAAAACACCCCUUGCGACGACAAACUCCUCUUUUUUCAGUUAACAGUUCGGGGACAGAGGUCGGUGGGGAGGCCCCAAGCUGACGUAGACCGAGAUGAAGAUGAGGAAGACCGGGAGGAGGAAGACGCUGGCUGCCGCGGCGGCCCCAGCGAAGAGCUCCAUCCUCCAACCGCAGCGCAGCCUCCCGCAGCCGGGACUCGCUCGCUGCCAGGAGGCGCCGCGUUGCCAUGGGAACCGCGACGGCGCCCCCGCGGCACCCGCGUUUAUUACCGGAGAAUCGACCCGCGCGGACGCGGUCCCCACCCCCCGGCGGAGGGCCGCGCUUGCUCCUCGCCCCCGUCACGCGUGCGGGAAAAGCAGAGCCAGACCACGGCGCGAAGUGCAAACUGCAAAUGCCUCGUAAGCGUUGGCCGGAGGCUGAGAGCGCCGCUGCGAGUGGAGGCUUUGCAGACGCCCUCGGACUCCGCCCGCCCGGGGAGGAACCGCAGCGUAGCCCCGCAGAUGGAGAAAGUUAGAGGGCCGACUUGAGUUUUUGCAGGACCGCCCCCAAACAAGCCCACCUAGAAUCCUUCUGGUCCUUGCCCCGCGGGCUCUCCAAGGGGAGGGAGGGAGCAUAAAAGACAUUUACCCCGAGUCCUAGUUAUUGGAACGAUUCCUUAACACGCCGUCUGUCCCGGGAGCUAGAAACAGAUUGCAGGACUGCAAUGUUUGGGUAAUUAA